rnacentral:rRNA from 1 species
UACGGAGGGAGCAAGCGUUACUCGGAAUUAUUGGGCGUAAAGGGCUCGUAGGCGGUUUGUCGCGUCGGGAGUGAAAUCCACUGGCUUAACUGGUGGCUUGCUUUCGAUACGGGCAGACUGGAGGUAUGCAGGGGAGAACGGAAUUCCUGGUGUAGCGGUGAAAUGCGUAGAUAUCUGGAGGAAUACCGGUGGCGAAGGCGGCAUCCUGGACCGACAUUGACGCUGAGGAGCGAAAGCUAGGGGAGCAAACGGG